rnacentral:lncRNA from 1 species
CGCGCUGAAAGCAUUAAGAGAUCCAGGACCAUCGGCACUUCGUCAGAGUUCGACAAAAACAGCAGAGGUAAGAAUAGUAUCCGCGCAUUGUCAUUGUGUGCAAUUGUUCAUUUGUGAUCGAUGUCUUACACCGUCAUGGUCAUUCUGCGCUUUUUAUUAUUGUAGCCACGAGUCAGGUCCCUCUAUCAACUAUUGAUCAGAGUGCAUCAUAUCAAUGUGAGUUCAAACAUAAUUUUAGACUAUGCUUUUAAUUUUAAACUAUGCUUUUAAUUUUGCUUCCUGUCAAAGAGUUCUUGUGUGGGUGUGUAGAGUGGUUUUUGACAGUAUUCUUGCUGGCCAUGGAUUCACAGCUUACGUUUCUUUCUAGAGUCACUUCACUGUGUCCAAUGUUGAUCUUUCAUUUGUCUUGCAGCAAUCAGGCGUGCCCGGUUGUCCAAUUUUGAUCAAAAUCCAAGCCCUGGCUCUGUGUUGGAUUCUACCGUCACAAACGUGAUGCCUUCUACCAAUGCAGCCACAGGUUGGAUUCAAGUAAUUUUAAAUUAUUUUUUAAAAUAAAAUUACAUCACUUUUUCCAAAGCAGUACUAAAUAUUUGGUGUUAGUCAACUGAAGAAGCAUGACAUGUUAAGAAAUUGAAACAUUCUAUUCACCAGGCUUGGAAAUAUUUUAUUCAGAAAAAAAAUAGUACUGAUAAGGAGUACAUGUUUAAAAUGCCUUUCUAUUGGCGUCCUCCGAGUAGACGUAUUGAAAUCUACACUAAAUUGCUAAGAGCUACUAAUCCCCAACUCUAUUAAGAGUGAUGUUAAUAGUCUACUGUAAAUGAUCUAAGCCAAAUGAAUACUGUAAAUGUAUACACUUCUGGUUAACGAGCAAUUGAUGUGAAUUCUGCACGUUGCUCCAUCGUCACCUUGAUCAACAGGUUCAAUUCUGGAAUGCAGCAAAGAAUGUUUGCAGAGAGGAGAUCUACCCUGACCUUUAGCAGAUAACUUGAAGACAUACCACUGUCUCCAGAGUGAUUUUUUAAAUUUUUUAAAUGUUAUUCGAGUAAGUUAAUUUCUGCACUUCUUUUUUCUUGCAGCAAUCGGGCGUUCUCCAUUGUCCAGACUUGAUCAAAAUGCAAAUCAUGGAGUUUUGUUGGACUCUACCGUCACAGGUUCAUAGGCCUGAAGCUGUCAUAUCUACCAUUUUAGUUGUCCAGCUCUGUACCUGAGAAAUAGUUUCCUACAUUACGUAACUCAUAAUGCUUGAAUAUGACUCUGCUGUUGAAUUUGUAACCAGGUGUCAAGCGUAGAGGGCGUGGGCCAAGCAUUGAAACAUUGUUUAACCAGUCUAAAAAAU